rnacentral:misc_RNA from 1 species
GAUGAAGAACGUAGUGAAAUGCGAUAAGUAAUGUGAAUUGCAGAAUUCAGUGAAUCAUCGAAUCUUUGAACGCACCUUGCGCUCCUUGGUAUUCCGAGGAGCAUGCCUGUUUGAGUGUCAUUAAAUUCUCAACCAUUAUCAACUUUUGCUGAUAAUGGCUUGGAUGUGGGGGUCUAUUUUGCUGGCUUCUCAGAUAGUCAGCUCCCCUUAAAUGCAUUAGCCGGUGCCCCGCGUGGACUGUCUAUUGGUGUGAUAAUUAUCUACGCUAUAGACAUCUGCAAUCAUAUGGGUUUGCGCUGCUUCUAACAGUCUGUUGAUUCAGACAAUACAUGACAAUUUGACCUCAAAUCAGGUAGGACUACCCGCUGAACUUAAGCAUAUCAAUAAGCGGAGGA